CUUAAUAUUUUAAACGAAAUAUUUGCCUGAGAACUACUGGCCACAGCUUAAAACUCAAAGGACUUGGCGGUACUUUAUAUCCAUCUAGAGGAGCCUGUUCUAUAAUCGAUAAACCCCGUUAUACCUCACCACCCCUUGCUAAUACAGCCUAUAUACCGCCAUCUUCAGCAAACCCUAAAAAGGAAUAAAAGUAAGCAAGAGAACUACCAUAAAAACGUUAGGUCAAGGUGUAGCCAAUGAGGUGGAAAGCAAUGGGCUACAUUUUCUUACAAAGAACACUACGCUACCCUUUAUGAAACUAGAGGACAAAGGAGGAUUUAGUAGUAAAUUAAGAAUAGAGAGCUUAGUUGAAUAGAGCAAUGAAGUACGUACACACCGCCCGUCACCCUCA
rnacentral:rRNA from 1 species